rnacentral:rRNA from 1 species
UACGUAGGUAGCGAGCGUUAUCCGGAUUUACUGGGUGUAAAGGGCGCGUAGGCGGGACUGCAAGUCAGGUGUGAAAACUAUGGGCUUAACCCAUAGCCUGCACUUGAAACUGUAGUUCUUGAGUACUGGAGAGGCAAUCAGAAUUCCGUGUGUAGCGGUGAAAUGCGUAGAUAUACGGAAGAACACCAGUGGCGAAGGCGGAUUGCUGGACAGCAACUGACGCUGAGGCGCGAGAGCGUGGGGAGCAAAC